rnacentral:lncRNA from 1 species
CUCUUUUUAUAAAAAAUAAUACGCACUAAAUAUAUUAAGUCAAUAUAUUGUUUCUACUUUCUAGGGCUUUCUCUAUAUCUCAUUAUUUCUGCCACAAAUUCCCACCAGAAGAGACACAGAAAACCAGAAGAAGAAAGGGAGAAGAAGAAAGGGAAACAGGACAGGGGAGAAAAUAAAAAUAAAAAGAGAAAAAUUUAUGGUGACUCUCAUCCAAUAGAAGAGUGGUGGUAGAGAACUUGUUUUACCAUCUUCCAUCAAUGGACUCAAAUUUCAUGUAAGUUGUUUUACAUCUUUAAUUUUUUUUGAGAUACAUGUGUUUUUUUUCAGUUGAGGGUGAUUUUUUAUGAAACCAAAUACCACAAUUUAUAUAGUUGAUUGGUGUUAAAUUUUUUUACAGUGGUGGUUGAUGAAUUAAAUUGGUCAUUGAUAUUGGCAGUUGGAGUUUAUUACUACAAAUUUUGUGGUUGAAAGAGAUGGGUUGUGGAAUUUUUAUUAUUCUUUAUGUUUACCCAAUUUGUUAAAUUGUAAUUUUGGUUUCUCAAUUUUAAAUAUGCAAAGUUGAAAUCUAGCAAAUUUUGCCUUUUUUCAUUCUGCUGUAAAUGUGAUUUUGGGUUGAAAUUAUGCAAAAUGUGCAAAUUAUAGGUAUACAUGAUGCUGUUGGAGUUAAAUCUUAAAUCCUAUUUAUAUUUCUUUAUACUCGAAUGGACGUUGGAAAAUGAUUGAAUAUUACUAUUGGAAGUGGAUCCUUUUAACACUACAUUAACUGUUCUAGCAUUAGGUAUCUUUUAGAAGGUAAGUACAACAAAGAUGUUUUUAGAAAAAUCAUAGAAACCUCAAAAAACUGUAUGACAAUUUUAUACAUAUUUCAAGAUAAUUCUCAUCUCCAAGUGGUCACUUUGGGUUUUAUCUUUUCAGUUAGUUUCUUGGUGCAAUGACAACUUUUUUUGCCAAAUUAUAAUACAAUUUUGUCCAAAAUAUAUGGACUCUGAGUCCUCAUCAUUUUAUAUUGUUUAAAGUUAUUAAUUAUUACAUAUCCCUUAUACA